rnacentral:rRNA from 2 species
CCGCAAGAAGUGACCUAGCUACUGAAAUCACGAAAGUUUAUAAAAACCUCUGAUGUCGUAAGGGAAAAUAAUGAUAAUACCUUACUAUGAGUGUCGUCCAAAUCUGGUGCCAGAAGACUCGGUAAGACCAGAGACGCGAACGUUAAUCAUCAUAAUCAGGCGUAAAGGGUUUGUAGGCAGCAUUCACCAGACUAUAAAUAAUAAAAUAAAGUAGUUUAAUUGAUUGCUAGAAUCAAAAAGAGGUUAUAGUGUAUAACGCCUAGAGGAGGGCUGAUAUCCAUAGAUCCUAGGCAGAAUACUAAGGGCGAAGGCCACUUUCCACUAAUGAUUGACGCUGAGAAACGAAGGUUAGGGUAGGAAAUAGGAUUAGAUACCCCGGUACUCCUUUCUGUAAACGAUGAAUGGUAGUCAUUAGUUAAAAAACUAGAGACGAAGUUAACACAAUAACCAUUCCGCCUUGUGAGUACUACUGCAAAGUAGAAAACAAAAAAAUUAGUCGGUCUCGAAGCAAACGGAGUGAAGCAUGUUAUUUAAUUCGUUAAUCCGCA